ACUCGGCGCACCCCACCGCGUCCGACACCUUUAUGUGGAACCGGCUGACGACAUCCCUCGGAUCGGGUCAGCCGGUUCUCUUUCC
rnacentral:sRNA from 1 species